UACGAAGGGGGCGAGCGUUGUUCGGAUUUACUGGGCGUAAAGGGCGCGUAGGCGGCCGAUCAAGUCAGGCGUGAAAGCCCCGGGCUCAACCUGGGAAUGGCGCUUGGGACUGGUUGGCUUGAGUUCGGGAGAGGAGAGUGGAAUUCCCAGUGUAGAGGUGAAAUUCGUAGAUAUUGGGAAGGAACACCGGUGGCGAAGGCGGCGCUCUGGACCGAGACUGACGCUGAGGCGCGAAAGCGUGGGGAGCAACAGG
rnacentral:rRNA from 1 species